rnacentral:lncRNA from 1 species
ACAAGUAUACCAAAUGACCUUCCUAUCUUCCUUAGCUAUGGAGGAGCAGAUGCUCUCUCCGAUGUCAACGAUGUGAAGCUGUUAUUGGACAGCCUGAAAGAUCAUGAUUCUGAUAAGCUUGUAAUUCAGUAUCGAGAAGAUUAUGCUCAUGCAGAUUAUGUUAUGGCUGCUAAUGCUAAACAAGAUGUAUAUGAUCCUCUCAUUGCUUUCUUUCGGCUGCAAUGACAUUAUAUAUCGAUUGAAAAGAAAAUUGAAAGAGUGCAAAACUUUCUUCUUUAUUCUAGUUGUCGUGACCUGUAUAUAUUCAGUUCUAAUUCUGAUUUCUUAUCAAAUUUCUUCUGCUACUUUGUUUUGUAAUCCAAUAGUUUCUGUGAAAUCUCGUUUUUAUGUAAAAAAAGAUGUAUUACAAAUGAUAGCAAAGCAUAUUGUGGCUUUGUCGAUAAAAUGAUAGCAGAGGUACCCACCUAAGAUAAUCUGCUACAUUUGGCAAUUUCAUAUUCUUCAAUUUGAAAAGACAAUGGAUGGAAUCAGACCCUAAAUGUAUAUAUUUGGCCUGUGACUGAAAUGAUUCUGGGCUGCAAGAUAAGCUGCCAUUGAAUAAUCUUGUUCUCCUUCAUGAUCGCACCUCAAAUUGAUCAUCCUCUUCCCUUUAUUUUUCAAGUAGAGCUCCUCACAUCGAACCACCUGGGCUGAUGAGUCAGGUGGAUCAGAGCAGCAGCUGCUACUGGACCUCACCAACAUUUUCUUCAACUUUCUGCAAUAGUUGGUGAAACCCUCCAUUAUCAAUGCUUCUCUGCUCUACUGCCCUUUAAUUUUUAUCUGGG